rnacentral:rRNA from 1 species
UGUGUAGGUGGUUAGAUAAGUUAGAUGUGAAAUCCCCGGGCUUAACCUGGGCACUGCGUUUAAGACUGUUUAACUAGAGUACUGUAGAGGAUAGUGGAAUUUCCAGUGUAGCGGUGAAAUGCGUAGAUAUUGGAAGGAACACCAGUGGCGAAGGCGACUAUCUGGACAGAUACUGACACUGAGACACGAAAGCGUGGGAGCAAACA